AACUCAGUCAGUCAAGAGCGAGUGAGUGAAUAUGGGUUUACGCGGCUUUUUGCAAUAUUCCAGCAAUAUCACACCGGGGGACACCAGAAAUGGGCUU